UCCACCUUUGUCAUGUUAAUUUGGUGUUUUGUACUCCAUACCAUAUUUUACACAAUCAGCCCCAUUCCCAGAGGAAGCAAGGUUGUUGUGGCCAUACAGGCAAAGCAAAUUUAAUAGUUACAGCUUAUUAACAGAAACAUUAUUUUAUUGAACUUUGAUGGCAUAUCAAUUAUCCAGGAACAAACAUGAAAUACAAGCCUGUUAAGAAACGUAAUAGUCCAUGGAUUACAUGGAGUGGUAUACAAAUUCCACUAUGCUUUAGUUGAACAAAUGAAGCCAGAUAAAUAAUAAAAUUCAGUUCUCUUCAACUUCAAUGGGUUUGACUGGAGUAACAAUAGUCAAGUUUUGGUGGUAGACAGAAAUGAUUAAGACAUUCAAGCUUCAAGACCUUUAAAGCAGCAUGCAGGGAACAAUCCCUUUGUCAAUUUGGUAAAAACAGAACUUCUGUGUGUACUUGGAACCAAAUUCAGGAAUUUUGCAAUAAAACUAAUGUUCACAGUAGUUUAGUAUUUUAUAAUUUGCUUGGGCAUCUUUGUGUAAGUGGCUUCAAGGGUGCUUAAAAGGACCAUCUCAGAAGUUGCAAACAAAGUACAUCCUUGAAAUCACACUGAGAAUUGGAUGCUCUUCCAUGCAAAUAAUGUAAUUAGAAUCAAAAUUAUUCACUAAACAAAUUCCCUUUUUUUUUCCUUUGGAAACACUAGUAAAGCCACUCGAAAAUUGUUAGAGUAUGAUAUACAUUAUUGAUCCAAAUCCUACGAGCAUAAGCUUUUAGAAAAAUUGGUCGUUUAACAUGGUAUUAGAGCUUUAUUUGGCAGGUCAUGUGUUCAAACCUCACUGCAUAUUUAUUUACCCAAUUUAUUAAGCCCACAUAUAAGUCCAAAAGAGGUUGACUGUGGUUGUUUGCUUACAGACCUGUGUGUUUUUCCCAC
rnacentral:lncRNA from 1 species